CAGCAGCCACGGGAAUACGAAGGGGGCUAGCGUUGCUCGGAAUGACCGGGCGUAAAGGGCGCGUAGGCGGCGAUCAAAGUCAGGCGUGAAAUUCCUGGGCUCAACCUGGGGGCUGCGUUUGAUACUUGAUUGCUAGAGUGGGGAAGAGGGUCGUGGAAUUCCCAGUGUAGAGGUGAAAUUCGUAGAUAUUCGGAAGAACACCAGUGGCGAAGGCGGCUCACUGGACGACUGUUGACGCUGAGGUGCGAAAGCGUGGGGAGCAAACAGGAUUAGAUACCCGAGUAGUCCCUGUCUCUUAUAA
rnacentral:rRNA from 1 species